rnacentral:rRNA from 1 species
AUACGGAGGGUGCAAGCGUUAAUCGGAAUUACUGGGCGUAAAGCGCGCGUAGGCGGUUUAAUCAGUCGGAUGUGAAAGCCCCGGGCUCAACCUGGGAACUGCAUUCGAUACUGUUAAGCUAGAGUAUGGUAGAGGGAAGUGGAAUUCCAGGUGUAGCGGUGAAAUGCGUAGAUAUCUGGAGGAACAUCAGUGGCGAAGGCGACUUCCUGGACCAAUACUGACGCUGAGGUGCGAAAGCGUGGGGAGCAAACAGGAUUAGAAACCCUAGUAGUCC